ensembl:lncRNA
GAAGAUCAAUCUUUUCUGUUAAGGUCUUUGCUGAUUGGAUGGGACCCACCCCUAUUGUGGAGGAUAAUCUGCAUUAUUUGAAAUCUACUGAUUCAAACGUUAGUUUCAUCUUAAAAAUUCCUCCAGAGAAACACCUACAUUAAUGUUUGGCCAAAAAUCUGGGUACUGUGGUCUAGCCAAGUUGAUACAUAAAGGUGACCAUCGGGUCCCAGUUUAAAGCCCAGGGUGUUUGACAGGCCCCUCCCCACAGUGGCUCUGAACUCCAGUGGUUUUCUCCCUUGUCCCAAAAGUCUGCCAGAAGCACUGGUAAGCUUCUUAGUCUCUCUGUUAUUGCUUCUUGCUCAACUUCCUUUUUUUCUUUUUUUUUUAAGAUUUUAUUUUUAAGUCAUCUCUCCACCCAACAUGGGGCUCAAACUCACAACCCUGAGAUCAAGAGUUGCAUGUUCCACUGACUAAGGCAGCCUGGGGCCCCACUGCUUGAUCAGCUUCUUGGUCUCUGCCCUGUGCUGCUGUAGCAUGGAAAGAUGUCUCAAGAGGAAGAUGGCACAGAAUAUCAGAUUUACCCAAAUGAGUUUCCUCUCUCUAGAAAACCAGCCUCUUAUGUCCUACCUGCUUUGGUAUUUCUGGGGGCCUUCAAACAGGCUCUUGAUCGUUUAUCAGCUGACUGCCAACAAGGUGUGAACGUUCUGGCCUCAGGGCUGAAUGCUCAGAAGGAAACGCAGCCGACCCUGACACUGUGAAGGGAAACGAUGCCUGCUUUAGAUUCCUGAUCAGGGCAAGAGAAACUGGCACCCUGUCCCCAUCCGUGGAGGGAGACUCAGAGAAGGAACUCAUGACCUGGGCACCAGCUCUUAGCUGCCUUGGCCAGUGAGGACUGACAGCACUCUGUCCCUGCUGGACAGCUCCCACCUUAUCCGCUGCCUGGCAUGCCCCACCUUCUCCUGAGGGCUUUCCAGGGGACGUAAAAGGCUCAGAGAAGCUUCCCAUUAAGCCUGGAGUUUAGACUACAUAUUAAGCACUCAGGUCAAUUGUCGAAAGGUAAGUACACCUCACGAUGGCUACAGUGUCCCUUCCCCACAGGGGACAAUCCCAAAUCCUCAUGUAAAGCCUUCCCUAACCUAUCCUCUGGUUUCUGUCACUCCUUAUUCACAUUUCUGUUAAUCCUCAGUUCCCGAGGAAGACAGACCUGCCCCAGGCCAUUGUGCCAGGACACAAAACCAUGUAGAACUCCCAUGCGGUGUCCCCAGAGUGGGUGCAGUUGUGCCUGUCUGGACAGCUAAAGGCUGAAGGGAAAUGCCAUUCAUACCUGGAAAAGAAAUCCCACAUGCCCUGCUUACCUGCUGCCCGCCCCCCAAGCUCCUUAGUCUUGGGCUGAGUCAGCGGUGGGGGUGGGGGGUUCCCAGGACAACUUAUGCAGGUAUUCGAUGCAUGCUUCUUCCGGUGAAGGACAGGUAUCCUGGGCACCCCUGGAGUUUCUGAUUCCACCCAUCUGAGGUGGAGCAUGAGAAUGUUCAUUCCUAACAGGUCACCAGGUCAUGCUGGUGCUGCCUUCCGGUCAGGCGGGGGACCACACUUGGGAAUCGCUGGGUUUGAAGAUGGGGGAGAGUCAGGAAGGCCACUUAGGAAGCUGUGUCAGUACCAGAGCCUGAAGCAGAGUGGGCUAGCUGGGGCGGAAGGGAAGCUGCAGAGCUGAGGGGCAUCUGGGAGGGUAGGGCCACCAGGAAGGGAGCCCAGCUGGUU